GGUGUUCAGAGUCUCAGUUUUUGUCUAGCACCAUUUGAAAUCGGUUAUGAUGUAGGGGGAAA
rnacentral:miRNA from 1 species